UUUCCUUCACUAUUACCGUAUUUCAAGAUUCUAUCCGUGUUGUCCCUUGGUGAUGAUCAUUCAUACAGAAUAGAAGCGAAGCUGCUUUUACCUGGGUCUAGCAGUUCCAACUCAAUUAAAGGUUUCACUCUUUUAAAUCAGUGCGGCGGAGAGGCUGGGGAUAAUUCUCCAGAGUCUGAUCAAAUAAGUGAUGGUCGGGAGUUUGAGUAAUGAGGUUCCGGAGAUCGCUGUUGAUACAUAUCGAAUUACAAGUCUUGGCUUCACUUUGCUACCUUAACUUGGUGUUGUAGGUGAAAGUAGUGAGAGGGGCUAUGAUUUUGAUGGUGGAAGCUUGGAAAAAAAAUAGUGAGGCAUAAAGUGUUUGUUAGGAGUAAACAAAAAUCAACCAGGAUUGUGGCAUAUCAAGGGUUUCCUAUUUGGCUUGACAUACUUCUGGGCAUUAGCUUGAGGACAUACAAUGAGCCAUUCAAGGUUACAAAGAGUCUCAAGGAGGCCCUAUCAUGCUCUCUCAGAUUAAUACAUGUAAUGGAGUCUACCAAGGUGAAUUCUUCCCAAAAGACCCUAUAAACCUUCAAUUUGGACAGAAGCCUGGAAUGGAUGUUGUGUGUGUGUGUGUGUGUGAUUUUAUACUUCUUUAAAGGCUAAAAUUUUAAACUGUCAAAUUGAUCCUAUUUUGGUGUGCAAACUAACAGGUUCCCCGACUUUGGAGGCCCGACAUAUAAGUGACGAGUUCAGGAUUUAGCAUUUGCAAAACAAAUUUAGGUGGUAACUGCACAUCUGCUAAUCGAGGAGACCAUACAUCUGAAAUUGCUAACAUAGUCCAUACUCCUUCUCAAAACUUGAUUUCACUGCCUUCAAAUGCGAACUUCUCUUAUUGUCGUUGAUCACAAUGCCAAGGAUCAAACUAUGUCACUAAUGGACACAAAAUUAAAUGGAAUACUUGAAGUUUCAUGGCUAACCAGCAGUAGUAACCGAAAAAAACCAGCAGGCAUAUAAGGAUUCCGGUUUGUCAUGAUUCAUAUUUUAGCAAUUUUGUUAUUAUUGAAAUUUAUGUUAUUUAAUUUCUUUGUGGCCAAACAAACAAUGUGAGGAUACUACAGAAAUACUUGAAGUUUCAUGGCUACUAACCAGCAAUAAUAACCGGAAAAAACCAGCAGGUAUACAAGGAUUCCAAUUUGUCAUGAUUCAUAUUUUAGCAAUUUUUCUCCAAUUAAAAUCCAAUUUAAUUUCCUUUGUUACAAUAAUCUUUAAGUGAUUCAGUUUCUCAUAAUUUAGGAAUUUGUUGUUAUCAUUAGAUUUUAGAUUUGUUGCUAUCAAUAGUCUCCAAUCAAAUGCUUCUGAUUUCGAAACUAGACAUGAAAACACAAUAAACUCAGGUAUCAUCUCAUAUUUCAUUCUACUAUUCAAUUUACAGGAAAAAUUUAAUGUGAAUUUUUCGUCUUAAAUUUACACUUAUCAGUUCAAAAGUGAAGAGGCAGAGGUCUAGGCAUAAUUAACUUCUGGAAGCUCAAAACAAGGAUUUACUAUUUCACAUCUCGCAAUCAAGCACAACUGCCAGACGUAGAGGAAGAGGUCCGGGAAUAGAGCAGUUGUAUGCGCAGAGGUUUGCCGAGGAUUCUCUACCUGUAUCUAAACAUCAAACCUUGAUAAAAGGAGAUUUCUAAUUCUUGAAUUUUAUUGUCGUCCACAGGUAGCUAUAUUCUGAGUAAUUCGGUCAACAAGAUUUCAUUCUGCAGGCAGAUGCACAAGUAGGUAUCGUCUUAUACUCCCAACUCAUCAAUUUCUUUUUUUUUAUGGUGCAAAUAACCAUUCCAAUAUAGAAUUUUAACUUGAACAUUAUCCUACAAGCUUUAUACAACGUUUGUUCUGGACAAAGUCACAUGUAUUCUGUAGUACUUUACUUUGACCACGUCAGGUUUCGGUCGCACAAGGUCCUCAUUCUGAUUAAGGGUUCAGAGGGAAAGAGGUGCAGAUGAAGGGCAAAAAUACUUUUGCAGCUCCAAGGAAUGGCAGGCCACUUGGUUAUACUAGCAACAUCAACACAAAACCUGGAUGUGGUCGGGGAUGUUGUUGAGAAAAAAGAAGACAGAAGUAAUACCACAAUGAUGGUCAUGUAAUUCCUCUGGGGUUGAGCUAUACAAGAUUGCUUGGAGUAGAUAUUAGUUUUUUGACCUCGGUAUUCCUAGAUUAGCUUUGCACGAAGACAUUCUGUUACGUGUGUUAAUGUUAUCUGAUUAUAUGGUGCAUCUUACUAAUGCAUGAAGGUGAUUGCCUAAUGGAACCAACAAAGACAGAAAAUCUUCUAAUUACAGAAAUUCAUAUGGAUGAAUGGGUUCUGCUUGGUCCAGACCUACACCAUUGAUAUGAAUGUCAAUGACUUUUUUCUGGGUAAGCUAUCAGAAUUUUAUUAUUA